GGACAGUGACAAUGAUGGGGGGGACACGGAGGGGACAAUGACACAGAGGGGACAGUGACAAUGGCAGGAAGGGGACAAUGACAAUGACAGGGGGGGACAAUGACAAUGACAAUGGCAAUGACAAUGGCAGGAAGGGGACAAUGAAUGACAAUGGCAGGGAGGGGACAAUGAAUGGCAAUGAGGGGACACGGAGGGGACAAUGACAGGGAGGGGACAAUGACAAUGACAAGGGGGGACAAUGGCAAGGACAGGGAGGGGACACGGAGGGGACAAUGACAAUGACAGGGACAAUGACAGUGAUGGGGGGGACAAUGACAAUGAGAGGGGGGGACAAUGAAUGGCAAUGAGGGGACACGGAGGGGACAAUGACAGGGAGGGGACAAUGACAAUGACGGGGGGGACAAUGGCAAUGGCAAUGACAAUGACAAUGGCAGGAAGGGGACAAUGACAAUGACAGGGAGGGGACACGGAGGGGACAAUGACAGGGAGGGGACAAUGACAAUGACAAUGACAAUGGCAAUGGCAAUGAGGGGACACAGAGGGGACAAUGAGCGACACAGGGGGACAUAGGGGUGACAAUGGCACAGAGGGGACAAUGGGGACACAGAGGGGACACAGAAGGGGUGACAAUGACACAGAGGGGACACAGAGGGGACAAUGAUGGCACAGAGGGGGCAGAGAGGGGACAAUGAGUGACACCAAGGGGACAGAGAGGGGACACAGGUGACAGUGACCCCGAGGGGACAGAGAGGGGACAGUGAGUGACACAGAGGGGACACAGAGAGGACAGAGAAGGGGGGACAAUGACACCGAGGGGACACAGAGGGGACAGUGAUGGCACAGAGGGGACAGAGACACCGGUGACAAUGACACCGAGGGGACAGAGAGGGGACACAGAGGGGACAAUGAGUGACACCGAGGGGACAAUGAGUGACACCGAGGGGACACAGAGGGGACAAUGAGUGACACCGAGGGGACAGAGAGGGGACACAGAGGGGACAGAGAGGGGACAAUGAGUGACACAGAGGGGACAAUGAAUGACACCGAGGGGACACAGGGGGGGGACAAUGACACCGAGGUGACACAGAGGGGACACAGAGGUGACAAUGACCCCGGAGGGGACACAGAGGGGACAACGGGUGACACCGAGGGGACACAGAGAGGACAGAGAAGGGGGGACAAUGACACAGAGGGGACACAGAGGGGACAAUGGUGACACAGAGGGGACAAUGAAUGACACCGAGGGGACAGAGGGGGGGGACAAUGACACCGAGGGGACAGAGAGGGGACAAUGA
rnacentral:lncRNA from 1 species